rnacentral:lncRNA from 1 species
ACAGUUUAACCCGCUCCACUUCUUUUGUGACAAGUCAAGGGUCAGGAAGGUCAUGCCCAUCUGUGACUGUUCAAGAAUCUGUUAGGUCUAGACAAGAGAGUGACCUUCUUCCUCCUCCCUAUGGGCUUGGUGAAGAGAAAAAUAAUGAUUCUAAUCACCUGACUCCCACACAAGAAUCUUGCAGCUGUAAAAAAAACUAAACAGAUGCUUGUUAAAACAGGACUGUCAUACACAUCAGCCAUGGUAGAUCCUUGCCUGUGGGGACGUCUGCACUGUACCCGUAGCAUGCCUUACAUCACUCCCUUCUUGCUGCUGUCUGGACUGUCACUGAUGGACCGAUGUCCACCCCCUGAGAGUUCUCUUUGCAGUCAAGGAGGGGGAAAUGGGAGACUGGACCUUGAUGAGAGACUCUGCAAUCCCGGCGACCCUGACGAUUUUCCAACAGGACCUGUAUUUGUGCAUCAGAUCCAUAGCUUCAGAGAACAAGAAGGCUGCCAUUCAAUUCUUGCCUCUGUAUUUAGUCACUGGUGACACACAGAGCAUAGGUAGGGACAAUCACAAUAGGUAUACAGCCAGCCACGGGUUGCAGGCAGCUCCAGAGAAAUGCAAGCUUGAUUGAUACCAUGGUGACACCAGAUGGCAUCACAGUCAGGUGUGAGAGAGAGCAGGGACUUCAGAGGAAAAUAGGUAUCUGAAUUUUAGCUCUGUACUGUGGUAUCCCAUCUGCUAUCUGUUAAAACUCA